AAACAAGAAAGAGAUUAAAUUCAUAAAUUAAUAGCAUUAUAACAAUCAGAGCAAAAUCACAUUAGUAAUUAUUUUACAAACAAAUAAAUCACUACAGAUAAAAGAGAUGAAAUUUAGGCACCAUAUCAGAAAAAAAAGACACUCUUAAAUAAUGGAAUUUUAGCAUAAAUAUGAAAAAUAAAGAAUUUUAUUUUUAAAAAUACAAAUUUCUACUUAAAAAAAAAUAAAUAAAUAAAUAAAAAUAAAAAGGUCCUGCAACAAUGACAGUUUCCCAAAAUCCUUGCCGAACUUAUGGCAAUCAUUCUGAUGGAAGUUUGAAGGAACAGAAAACUUUUUAUUUAGAUGACCAACAAAUAUAAGCUAUGGAUACAACUUAUAAAAUAAAUUAAAUAUGAGCUCCCACUUGCACCAGUCAUACUAGAUACUAGUGGAAAUUUCAAAGAAAUAGAUUAUUUGUUAAUUAUCUAAAUAAAUAAAAAAGCAAACUGGCUUAUUGAGGAUUUACUGAGAUUACAUAAAACAAAGGUGAAGAUCUUAUAAAUGAGUUGCAAUGUCAGGAUUAUCAAUAGCUAACACUAAAUAGCACUAAUUUGGUGCCAAUUUUUGCUUGCUAAAAUGGUUGAUGGGAAAAUAUGUAAGUCAUAUUCACAUUUGUUUUCACAAAUAUGGGUGAUGGUAAAAUCCAAUUUCUUGAAAGAAUACAGCAGCUUAAUUUACACUUUGUGGUAAAUUGGAAAUAGUGAUUGAUUAUUUUGAGUUUAAAAAAAAAAAAAAAAAAAAAAA